UACGUAGGGUGCAAGCGUUAAUCGGAAUUACUGGGCGUAAAGCGUGCGCAGGCGGUGAUGUAAGACAGGUGUGAAAUCCCCCGGGCUUAACCUGGGAACUGCAUUUGUGACUGCACGGCUGGAGUGCGGCAGAGGGGGAUGGAAUUCCGCGUGUAGCAGUGAAAUGCGUAGAUAUGCGGAGGAACACCGAUGGCGAAGGCAAUCCCCUGGGCCUGCACUGACGCUCAUGCACGAAAGCGUGGGGAGCAAACAGG
rnacentral:rRNA from 1 species